GACGAACGCUGGCGGCGUGCUUAACACAUGCAAGUCGAACGAUGAACCGGAGCUUGCUCUGGGGAUUAGUGGCGAACGGGUGAGUAACACGUGGGCAACCUGCCCCAGACACCGGGAUAACCAUUCGAAAGGAUGGCUAAUACCGGAUACGACCACUUCGGGCAUCCGAUGGUGGUGGAAAGGAUUCUGGUCUGGGAUGGGCCCGCGGCCUAUCAGCUUGUUGGUGGGGUAAUGGCCUACCAAGGCGACGACGGGUAGCCGGCCUGAGAGGGCGACCGGCCACACUGGGACUGAGACACGGCCCAGACUCCUACGGGAGGCAGCAGUGGGGAAUAUAGCGCAAUGGGCGAAAGCCUGACGCAGCGAUGCCGCGUGAGGGACGAAGGUCUUCGGAUUGUAAACCUCUUUCAGCAGGGAUGAAGCGAAAGUGACAGUACCUGCAGAAGAAGCACCGGCUAACUACGUGCCAGCAGCCGCCGCAGUAA
rnacentral:rRNA from 1 species